rnacentral:rRNA from 1 species
CAAACGACUCUCGGCAACGGAUAUCUCGGCUCACGCAUCGAUGAAGAACGUAGCAAAAUGCGANACUUGGUGUGAAUUGCAGAAUCCCGUGAACCAUCGAGUUUUUGAACGCAAGUUGCGCCCGAAGCCAUUCGGCCGAGGGCACGUCUGCCUGGGCGUCACGC